CUGGCAGUAGUGUUUCACAUUUUGGAAUAGUGUUCUAUUACAGCGGGUGUCUUAGAGAUCUGACAAGAGUUCAGCCGCUAUUCAAGCCUUCCUGGGUGGCACAAAAGAAAGAAAGUCAUACACAUCUGGGAUGACAUGAAGAAUAAUCAGUGGUGUAUCCAGGACAUUUUUACUGGGGUGGCCAAGAUGGGGCACAGACAUAGUGUGGGGUGGCGAUACCGGGAGAACCUUUAUGAAUGGCACAUGAUCAAAAUGUGUAAAUAUCACAUUGCUUUGCUUCAACAUCUACACAUGUAGAAUAAAUGAAUUCUUAAACUCAUGUUAGCAUUCACUGAAUUGUUUGUAUUCAAUAUCAGACUGUUGUUUUGACAUUUGACAGUUUUCUAUUCCUGUUCUAUUUCAACCUAUUACAGUUUCUGGGAAUCUCUGGUUAUUUUAACAUAACAUCCAUUUUUAAAUCAGUAAUUGUUUUGGAAAAGUCAGUUACACAUUUUAAAGAGCUAUUCUCAUUGUAGAGAAUUAAUCUGCGUAUAACAUCAGGUAUAGUGUAAAAUCAUAAAAAGAUACAAGUACAGGUGAUAACUGAUUGAGGCGCAAUUCAAUCAAUCAUUCAAUCAAUUAUUCAUUCAUUUAUUAGCUAUAACUGCACUGUCCAGCAGAAAUAUUGUUAAAUUGGGUACAAAUCAGUGUGUGAAAUUGGCUACGAGGGCUUAUAGGUGUC